rnacentral:rRNA from 1 species
GAUGAACGCUGGCGGCGUGCCUAAUACAUGCAAGUCGAGCGAACAGACGAGGAGCUUGCUCCUCUGACGUUAGCGGCGGACGGGUGAGUAACACGUGGAUAACCUACCUAUAAGACUGGGAUAACUUCGGGAAACCGGAGCUAAUACCGGAUAAUAUAUUGAACCGCAUGGUUCAAUAGUGAAAGACGGUUUUGCUGUCACUUAUAGAUGGAUCCGCGCCGCAUUAGCUAGUUGGUAAGGUAACGGCUUACCAAGGCAACGAUGCGUAGCCGACCUGAGAGGGGGGAUCGCCACCCGGGAACCGAGGCAAGGGUCCGACCCCGAAGGGGAGGCACAGGUGGGAAUCCUACGGAAGGGGGGAAAGGUUGACGGGGGAAAGGCGGGGUAAGUAUGAAAGGGCUACGAAUCGUAAACGAUGGUAGUAGGGGAGAACAAAAGGUGUAGUAACCAAGACCGGUUUGACGGUACCUAAACAAGAAGCCACGGCUAACUACGUG